AGUGAACGCUGGCGGUAGGCCUAACACAUGCAAGUCGAACGGCAGCACAGUAAGAGCUUUCUCUUACGGGUGGCGAGUGGCGGACGGGGGAGGAAUACGUCUCCAUCUACUGUUUCGUACGGGAUAACGGAGGGACACUUACGCCAAUACCGCAUACGACCUAAGCGUGGAAGCUGCGGGUCUUCGGACCUUGCGCGAUUGACUGAGCCGAUGUCGGAUUAGCUAGUUGGCGGGGUAAAGGCCCACCAAGGCGACGAUCCGUAGCUGGUCUGAGAGGAUGAUCAGCCACACUGGGACUGAGACACGGUCCAGACUCCUACGGGAGGCAGCAGUGGGGAAUAUUGGACAAUGGGCGCAAGCCUGAUCCAGCCAUACCGCGUGGGUGAAGAAGGCCUUCGGGUUGUAAAGCCCUUUUGUUGGGAAAGAAAAGCAGCAGGUUAAUACCCCGCUGUUAUGACGGUACCCAAAGAAUAAGCACCGGCUAACUUCGUG
rnacentral:rRNA from 1 species